rnacentral:rRNA from 1 species
AACGAACGCUGGCGGCGUGCCUAACACAUGCAAGUCGAACGGAAUGAGGGGGCUUGCUCCUUCAUUUAGUGGCGCACGGGUGAGUAACGCGUAGAUAAUCUGCCUGAUGAUCUGGGAUAACAUCUCGAAAGGGGUGCUAAUACCGGAUAAGCCCACGGGGUCUUUGGACUCUGCGGGAAAAGGGGGGGACCUUCGGGCCUUCUGUCAUCAGAUGAGUCUGCGUACCAUUAGCUAGUUGGUAGGGUAAUGGCCUACCAAGGCGACGAUGGUUAGCUGGUCUGAGAGGAUGAUCAGCCACACUGGAACUGAGACACGGUCCAGACUCCUACGGGAGGCAGCAGUGGGGAAUUUUGCGCAAUGGGCGAAAGCCUGACGCAGCAACGCCGCGUGAGUGAUGAAGGCUUUCGGGUCGUAAAGCUCUGUCAAGGGGAAAGAAGUGUAUUGUGGUUAAUACCCGCGAUACUUGACGGUACCCCUAAAGGAAGCACCGGCUAACUCCGUGCCAGCAGCCGCGGUAAUACGGAGGGUGCAAGCGUUGUUCGGAUUUAUUGGGCGUAAAGCGCGUGUAGGCGGUUUAUUAAGUCUGAUGUGAAAGCCCUGGGCUCAACCCAGGAAGUGCAUUGGAUACUGGUAGACUUGAAUACGGGAGAGGGCAGUGGAAUUCCUGGUGUAGGAGUGAAAUCCGUAGAUAUCAGGAGGAACACCGGUGGCGAAGGCGGCUGCCUGGACCGAUAUUGACGCUGAGACGCGAAAGCGUGGGUAGUAAACAGGAUUAGAUAUCCUGGUAGUCCACGCCGUAAACGAUGAGUACUAGGUGUUGCGGGUAUUGACCCCUGCAGUGCCGCAGCUAAUGCAUUAAGUACUCCGCCUGGGAAGUACGGUCGCAAGACUA